UGCAUCACCAUCCACAGAAAGCAUUUCCUGGUUAACUCCUCCACCGUCAGUCUCACUCCGGAACACAGAAGAGCUACCCGGACCCAGAACAAGCCACAAGCACUUCUUGUUAAUAAACAUUGUUUCCAUCUUU